rnacentral:rRNA from 1 species
GUGCCAGCAGCCGCGGUAAUACAGAGGGUGCAAGCGUUGUUCGGAAUUACUGGGCGUAAAGCGUGCGUAGUCGGUAUUGAGAGUCACGGGUGAAAUCCCAGGGCUUAACCCUGGAACUGCCUGUGAGACCUCAGUACUAGAGUGUGAGAGGGGAUAGUGGAAUACCCAGUGUAGCGGUGAAAUGCGUAGAGAUUGGGUGGAACACCGGUGGCGAAGGCGGCUAUCUGGCUCACAACUGACGAUCAGGCACGAAAGCGUGGGGAGCAAACAGGAUUAGAUACCCCCGUAGUCC